GAUGAACGCUAGCGGCAGGCCUAACACAUGCAAGUCGAGGGGUAGUUACUUUCGGGUAAUGAGACCGGCGCGCGGGUGCGUAACGCGUAUGCAAUCUACCUUUUACAGGGGAAUAGCCCAGAGAAAUUUGGAUUAAUGCCCCAUAGUAUGUAUGAAUCGCAUGGUUUAUACAUUAAAGUUCCAACGGUAAAAGAUGAGCAUGCGUCCCAUUAGUUAGUUGGUAAGGUAACGGCUUACCAAGACGAUGAUGGGUAGGGGUCCUGAGAGGGAGAUCCCCCACACUGGUACUGAGACACGGACCAGACUCCUACGGGAGGCAGCAGUGAGGAAUAUUGGACAAUGGGCGCAAGCCUGAUCCAGCCAUGCCGCGUGUGUGAAGAAGGCCUUUUGGUUGUAAAGCACUUUAAGCGAGGAGGAGGCUACUUGGAUUAAUACUCUAGGAUAGUGGACGUUACUCGCAGAAUAAGCACCGGCUAACUCUCGUG
rnacentral:rRNA from 1 species